AAAUAGAACUUUGCAGAGAGAGUUAACAGGGCGUGAAACCGUCAAUUGGCAAACGAAUCGGAGCCACGAAGUCGUUUCGUUGAUCUAGCCAUGAGCUGAGUUCAGUUUGUGAGUAACAACUCAUAGGCGUAUUCUCGUGCUUGGCCAGUCAUUGUAAGCGUACACUGCAACCAGUUAGACAAUUGAUUAUGGGCCCAGUUGGUUAAAUUAGUAGUAGCGCGGCAUAGUUUCGGCUGUGUUCGUGUUGCUGGGUUUAGUUGAGUGAACUAUGAUCAAAUACUGACUGGCAAAAUGAAAAUCGCCCUCCAGCGGCGUUAUACACAAAGCAGCAGCUUAUACAAAUGCUUACACACUUGACCAUUAGGUUUAAGCUCGGCAUUUUUGAAUUUAGACUUGCUUGAUACCAGUGGGGCAACUCCUGGUUCUUGUAUAGCUUCUAUCUAAUCGGGUGUCGACUUGAUUUGGUGUAGUUUGGGUGUGCAUCGAUCGAGUGUUUGUAUAUUGUUGUUUGCCACUUGAAUUGGCAGUGAGUAGGUCGGCUUUCCGAACGACCCGUCUUGAAACACGGACCAAGGAGUCUAAUUAGGCAUCAAGUCGAUCGGUCUUGAAUAGGCCAGACUAGUAGGAAGCUUCUUAUUGAAGGCGUAGAGACAUGUGAUCGUGUGGGCAAUACCAGCCUGCAUGCGCAACAUGUGCCUGUUCGUAUAGCAAUGAAGUAAUAUUUGCUGGGCGGAGCAAAGAGAUGCUUGAUUGGUACCCGAAAGAUGGUGAUGCCUGGGCAAAUUGAAGCCAGAGGAAACUCUGGUGGAGGAUUGCGAUUCUGACGUGCAAAUCGAUCGUCAAACCUGGGUAUAGGGGCGAAAGACUAAUCGAACCAUC
rnacentral:rRNA from 1 species